AUACGUAGGGGGCAAGCGUUAUCCGGAUUUACUGGGUGUAAAGGGAGCGUAGACGGUUCUGCAAGUCUGGAGUGAAAUACCGAGGCUUAACCUCGGGGCUGCGUUUGAAACUGUAGUUCUUGAGUGAAGUAGAGGCAGGCGGAAUUCCUAGUGUAGCGGUGAAAUGCGCAGAUAUUAGGAGGAACACCAGUGGCGAAGGCGGCUUACUGGACUGUAACUGACGUUGAGGCUCGAAAGCGU
rnacentral:rRNA from 1 species